UCUGGCAGCUCCUGACCCGACCCUGCAAGCCUCAGCUGCUGGGACAACACUCUGGUGGAUCCAGGGAGCCUCUUCUGGAAGACCACCAGGAUGUGGCUUGGUGCUGGCUUGUCAUGGAGUCCUAAGUAACCUGCUCACAAACACUAAGAUACUCAGACCCUCGAGCCGCAGCAGUGAGUAGCUUCCCCCACCCCACCCCCAAAGCCUCCCAUGGACAAAGAUUCUCCUUAAACAGAAGCUUCAUCAACUUGGAAUGGACCAAGAGACCCUGGUUCUGCUUGUAUAUCCUCAGGUACCCACUCCAGAGGGCCACAGGCGAGGCGAGGCGGGGCAGGGCACAUCACGGCACAGCUGCAUCUUCCUCAGCCUCUCUGGUGACUCAACUCAGUCUUGUUUAUCUGAAGAGGCAGAGAAGCCCCUGGUGGCUUUCUUCUUGAUGGCUGGUUCUCCGUGUCUGAGUUGAUUGAGCUGCCUUCAGAUGAAGAGGUAGAACUCUCAGCUCCUCCUGCACUGCCAUGCUCCUGCCUUGAUGAUAAUAGACCGGACCUUUGAACCUGUAAGCCAACCCCAAUUAAAUGUUGUUCUUAUAA
rnacentral:lncRNA from 1 species